rnacentral:rRNA from 1 species
UACGAAGGGUGCAAGCGUUACUCGGAAUUACUGGGCGUAAAGCGUGCGUAGGUGGUGAGUUAAGUCUGAUGUGAAAUCCCCGAGCUCAACCUGGGAAUGGCAUUGGAUACUGGCUCGCUAGAGUGCGGUAGAGGGUGGUGGAAUUCCCGGUGUAGCAGUGAAAUGCGUAGAUAUGCGGAGGAACACCGAUGGCGAAGGCAAUCCCCUGGGCCUGCACUGACGCUCAUGCACGAAAGCGUGGGGAGCAAACAGG